rfam:Canis lupus familiaris chromosome 4, whole genome shotgun sequence.
CGGGGGAGGCCGGAUCCUGGGCUGUGUCCCGGCCCCUGUGCUCCGGAGCCUGCGCUGUUGGAUUCGCGCUCCCGGGCCGCGCAGCCCCCU